rnacentral:rRNA from 1 species
UCCAGACUCCUACGGGAGGCAGCAGUGGGGGAUAUUGCACAAUGGGGGAAACCCUGAUGCAGCGACGCCGCGUGAGUGAAGAAGUAUUUCGGUAUGUAAAGCUCUAUCAGCAGGGAAGAAAAUGACGGUACCUGACUAAGAAGCCCCGGCUAACUACGUGCCAGCAGCCGCGGUAAUACGUAGGGGGCAAGCGUUAUCCGGAUUUACUGGGUGUAAAGGGAGUGUAGGUGGCAUAACAAGUCAGAAGUGAAAGCCCGGGGCUCAACCGCGGGACUGCUUUUGAAACUGUUAAGCUUGAGUGCAGGGGAGGUAAGCGGAAUUCCUAGUGUAGCGGUGAAAUGCGUAGAUAUUAGGAGGAACACCAGUGGCGAAGGCGGUCUGCUGGACAGCAACUGACGCUGAGGCGCGAAAGCGUGGGGAGCAAACAGGAUUAGAUACCCUCGUA